rnacentral:rRNA from 1 species
GCUUGUCUCAAAGAUUAAGCCAUGCAUGUCUUAGUGUAAAUAACUCUUAUGAAACUGCGAAUGGCUCAUUAAAUCAGUUAUCAAAUACGUGAUGGUCGCCUACUACAUGGAUAACCGUAGUAAUUCUAGAGCUAAUACAUGCUGUAAGCCCGACUUUUCGGAAGGGCCGUAUUUAUUAGAUAACAGACCAAUGCCCCCCCGGGCUUUGUGGUGACUCAUAGUAACUAAUCGGAUCGCAUGGGCCUGUCCCGCGACAAACCAUUCAAGUUUCUGCCCCAUCAGCUUUCGAUGGUAGUGUAUUGGACUACCAUGGCUUUUACGGGUAACGGAGGAUUAGGGUUCGAUUCCGGAGAGGGAGCCUGAGAAACGGCUACCACAUCUAAGGAAGGCAGCAGG